GUAGGGAAUAUUGGGCAAUGGAUGCAAGUCUGACCCAGCCAUGCCGCGUGGAGGAAGAAGGUCCUCUGGAUUGUAAACUCCUUUUUUGGGGGAAGAAUAGUUCUCUUGCGAGGGAAUGUGACGGUACCCUAAGAAUAAGCCACGGCUAACUACGUGCCAGCAGCCGCGGUAAUACGUAGGUGGCAAGCGUUGUCCGGAUUUAUUGGGUUUAAAGGGUGCGUAGGUGGUUUGAUAAGUCAGUGGUGAAAGCUGGUUGCUCAACAAUCAAGUUGCCAUUGAUACUGUCGGACUUGAGAGAAGUGGAGGUUCAUGGAAUGGAUGGUGUAGCGGUGAAAUGCAUAGAUAUCAUCCAGAACGUCGAUUGCGAAGGCAGUGGGCUGUACUUUAAUCGACGCUGAUGCACGAAAGCAUGGGGAGCAAACAGGAUUAGAAACCCGAGUAGUCC
rnacentral:rRNA from 1 species